UAUCAUGGAUGUGCAUUAGGUAUAUUAAUAAUACUUCUUGGACUUCUGAGUCUGAUUGGGCUUCGAAUUAUUGAUGUAUUAGAUGAAUUGGGAACAUUAGUCAAAUUUGUGCUUCUAUUCAUAUCGGCGUUAUUCGCUUUGAUGAUCACAUGUUACUCCGGUCAAAGAAUAAUGGAUGAAAGUCAAAAUGUAUCCCACGGAACAUACGCGACAGAAUGGUACCAAUUUUCACCAAGACUAAAAUCAUUAGUGUUAAUAACUCUUUACAGAAGUAAUGUACCGUGCGGAUUAAAGG